CACGAACCGUACGAACGUUAUUCGGAAUUACUGGGCUUAAAGCGUGCGUAGGCGGCGCGGAAAGUUGGGUGUGAAAUCCCUCGGCUCAACCGAGGAACUGCGCUCAAAACUACCGUGCUUGAGGGAGACAGAGGUGAGCGGAACUGAUGGUGGAGCGGUGAAAUGCGUUGAUAUCAUCAGGAACACCAGUGGCGAAGGCGGCUCACUGGGUCUCUUCUGACGCUGAGGCACGAAAGCCAGGGGAGCGAACGGG
rnacentral:rRNA from 1 species